rnacentral:lncRNA from 1 species
GGUGGAAUAACAUCUCCCAAAACAUGUUUGUUUCCCUGUGAAGAAUGUCAGAAACACCACACCAUCUUGGCAACGGCUAUUUCUGAAGGUGAGCAGCGAAUAUGGUAUGAAAAAAGGGAGUGCUAAAAGCUGUGGUAAGCAGCUGGCAGAGAUGAAUCUCCUCUUCUUGUGCCUCAAAGCUGUGAACUUCUCAACCUGAGUAGGCCAGGGAAGGCAACAUUACCUUCUAUGAUGAAAAUGCCUGGCAUGGCCUAGAGGAAACAUCAGUAGCAGGAAGCAAAGCAGAUUGAAAGUGAAAUUUUAACAGGUGAUUUGGGAAUUGGCUGUGAUUUUAACAACUAAUUUAACUGACCAGGACCAAACCUUUCUUCGUACUACCCUGAAGAGAGUAAUAAAAUUCAGAACAAGCAAGUUUGAAAGCAAGGACUAAAAGAAGUAAAACAAACUACCGUGUCGUGUUGAGCUAAAAACUGUCUAGAAAUUAAAAUGAGAUUAAAUACUCUCUGGAAAUGUUCCCAAUGCAAUUAGAAUUUCCUGUUGCAACUGAAUUGCCACUGAUCAAAAAAUCUUGGAUUUGGCUGUAGAAUAAGAUAAUUUAUUUAUUUAUUUAUUUUUUAUAACCAUGAUUGCAGAAAUCAAUAUUAGCCAAAAAAUGUUAAGAAGUAAUGUUUUAUUGUGGAAUGUAUGGGAGAGUGGGAAAAAAGGUGUAAGGGCUUGUCUCCUGAAACUGCAAGGGCCAACCUUCCCCUCCUGCCUGGCCAGCAAAGACUUUUUGGGUGCUGUAUUGGACAGAGUCUCUACACCAAGUUCAAGAUGAUUGGACAAAUUAUCCCAAAAAAGGGGGAGGUAACUUUGUGUCAACCAAAGGAAAAUAUGGAUCUGUUGCAGGAGAGGAUAUGAAAUACUGUAGAACCUUCAGGACUUCUUGACUGAAUAUUAUGAUAUAUGGAAAGAGUUAUGGAUAAAGAGUAUAAAUCUCAUUUGGGGUGAGUGAGGUAAUUUGUUGUUGACCAGGACAAGUGUUUUUGAAGAGUGGAAUUAAAAUUUUUCAUUGAGUAGGGACAGGACAUUGAUUUGUGGUCAUUACAGCAAAGAAGAACAGUGCUCUUGACCUACUACUACCUACACUUUGACAUAAGAUAACAAGAAUUUAUUGUUGCUUUUUGUUCUCUGCUGCUUAAAGUUCUGCACUGGAAUUCAAACCUGUUUUCAUGUGGCUUCAAGUACUCUGUAUUUCUUAAGAAGCAUGGUGAUCUGUGGCAGAAAUUCUGGUGGAAAAGACAUUUUGCUGCCAGUAUACCAAACAUACUGGAGUUAUUCAAGUCCUUAGUACCCUUUUUAAAACUUUCUGAUUUCAUGAGCCAUUUUCCUGGCAUCUCAGAAUGGCAAAAUUAUGGUUUUAUAAGGGAAAAGUACUGGAUAUAUUUUUUUCCAUCUUCAAAUCCACUCUAUCUCAAAGGGGCUUUUACGCGGGUAGUUUUGUUACUCAGUGGGAACACAGACUAAGCAAUGUUCCUAUACAACGAUGAUGCAAAGAAGAAGCAUUUGUUUCCUUUUUGUCUAUGGCUGGCUGUCAGCUGCAAAAAUAUUAAAUGUGGCUAGCAAUUUCAGGUAAUUGCUGAACAGAAAGGAUUAUUUAUAAAGAAUGAAUUGUUCCAAAUAGAAGUAAAAAUUCAGUGUCCUUUCUCUGGGCACUGUAUGUGAAAUCCAGCUGACCAAACACAGAUUAUUACUCUGCCAGUAUCAACAUCUGAGAUAGUUGUCUGCACGCUCUUUACAAGAUAAUAGAGAAUAAACAGCACUAGAAUGAGAUGUGGUUUACUUCA